rnacentral:rRNA from 1 species
AGAGUUUGAUCCUGGCUCAGAAUAAAUGCUAUUGGUAUGCUUAACACAUGCAAGUCGAAUGUUUUUAAAACAUGGCGAACGGGUGAGUAACGCGUGAAUAAUCUACCUUUUAAUUCAGGAUAAUUAUUUUAAAUAAAAAUACUGAAUAAAAAAUAAAGUUUAAAAAACGUUAAAAGAUGAGUUUGCGUAAGAUUAGGUAGUUGGUAGUUUAAAAGACUACCAAGCCGACUAUCUUUAGCUGGUUUGAAAGAAUGAUCAGCCACAUUGGGACUGAGACACGGCCCAAACUUUUUUAAAGGCAGCAGUGGGGAAUUUUGGACAAUGAGCGAAAGCUUGAUCCAGCAAUACCAAGUGAGUGAAGAAGGCUAAUUAGGUUGUAAAGCUCUUUCAUUAAGGAGGAAAAUGACAGUACUUAAAGAAGAAGUCCCGGCUAAUACCCGUGCCAGCAGCCGCGGUAAUACGGGAGGGGCGAGCAUUAUUCGGAAUGAUUAGGCGUAAAGGGUUUGUAGGUGGUUUUUUAAGUUGAAAAAAACAAAUUAAAGCUCAACUUUAUAAAUUUUUUCAAAACUGAAAAACUUGAGUAUAAAUAGAGGAUAAUGGAAUUUCUAUUGGAGGGAUAAAAUAUGUUGAUAAUAGAAGGAAGAUCGAGAGCGAAGGCAAUUAUCUGGGUAUAUACUGACACUGAGAAACGAAAGCUUGGGGAGCGAACGGGAUUAGAGACCCCGGUAGUCCAUGCUGUAAACGAUGAGUGCUCAUAUUUAGAAUUUUUUAGAUAUCAAGCUAACGCGUUAAGCACUCCGCCUGAAAAGUAUAAUCGCAAGAUCGAAAUUCAAAGGAAUUGACGGGAGCCUACACAAGCGGUGGAGCAUGUGGUUUAAUUCGAUAAUACGCGCAGAACCUUACCAACUCUUGCAAAUUUU